rnacentral:tRNA from 1 species
GGCUUGUGGCUCAGCUGUAGAGCACUCGCCUAGCACGUGCAAGGCCCUGGGUUCAAUCCUCAGCACCA